rnacentral:misc_RNA from 1 species
UCUCCGUAGGUGAACCUGCGGAGGGAUCAUUACCGAGCUCAUGCCCUACCGGGUAGAUCUCCCACCCUGUGUUAUUAUUACCUUUGUUGCUUUGGCAGGCCGUCUCGCCCCGGCCAGGCUACCGGCUCCGGCUGGUAAGCGCCCGCCAGAGGACCCCAAACCCUGAAUGUCAGUGUCGUCUGAGUACUAUACAAUAGUUAAAACUUUCAACAACGGAUCUCUUGGUUCUG